UACGGAGGGUGCAAGCGUUAAUCGGAAUUACUGGGCGUAAAGCGCACGCAGGUGGCUGAGUCAGUCGAUUGUGAAAGCCCUGGGCUUAACCUGGGAAUUGCAGUCGAUACUACUCAGCUAGAGUAUGGGAGAGGGCAGUGGAAUUCCCGGUGUAGCGGUGAAAUUCGUAGAUAUCGGGAGGAACACCAGUGGCGAAGGCGGCGAUCUGGGAAGAUACUGACGCUGAGGUGCGAAAGCGUGGGGAGCAAACAGG
rnacentral:rRNA from 1 species